rnacentral:rRNA from 1 species
CCUACGGGAGGCAGCAGUGGGGAAUAUUGCACAAUGGGGGAAACCCUGAUGCAGCGACGCCGCGUGAGUGAAGAAGUAUUUCGGUAUGUAAAGCUCUAUCAGCAGGGAAGAAAAUGACGGUACCUGACUAAGCAGCCCCGGCUAACUACGUGCCAGCCGCCGCGGUAAUACGGAGGGGGCAAGCGUUAUCCGGAUUUACUGGGUGUAAAGGGAGCGUAGACGGCAGCACAAGUCUGGAGUGAAAUGCCGGGGCUUAACCCCGGAACUGCUUUGGAAACUGUGCAGCUAGAGUGCAGGAGAGGUAAGUGGAAUUCCUAGUGUAGCGGUGAAAUGCGUAGAUAUUAGGAGGAACACCAGUGGCGAAGGCGGCUUACUGGACUGUAACUGACGUUGAGGCUCGAAAGCGUGGGGAGCAAACAGGAUUAGAUACCCCAGUAGUC